UACGGGGGGGGCAAGCGUUGUUCGGAAUUACUGGGCGUAAAGGGUUCGUAGGUGGCUUUCUAAGUCAGACGUGAAAUCCCUCAGCUUAACUGGGGAACUGCGUCUGAGACUGGCGAGCUUGAGCGCAGGAGAGGAACGCGGAAUUCCAGGUGUAGCGGUGAAAUGCGUAGAUAUCAGGAGGAACACCGGUGGCGAAGGCGGGUCUCUGGGCCGUAACUGACGCUGAGGAGCGAAAGCGUGGGGAGCGAACAGG
rnacentral:rRNA from 1 species